CCCACCCCGACCCUAUCCUCUCGAACCCACCCACUCCUCUCUCCCAUCGUGCUCCUUCAUCCAAUCCCCGCAACUUUCCCCGCCAAUCCGCCGCCGCACCACCUGCGUCCUCACCCAGCCGCCGCACCACAUGCCUUCCCACCCCGCCGCCAGCCCGGGCUCGCGCCGGCCCGUCGCCUCUCACCUCCAACCGCACCUCCUUGCCGGCCGUUGCGCCUUGUCCUCCUUCUCGGCGCAGGAGUGCCCUCCUUCCUCCCCAUGUGAGAGCACCCCUGCCACCUUCUCCCCGUGGCGCGCCGCCCCUCCACGCGACGGCCUCAACUCCUCCGUCGAGCAUGGGCCCUUCCUACCUUGCAGGCACCUCGCAAGGGCCUAGAUCCGGCGACACCCGAGGCGUCCCCAGCGAGGUAGACUCCCGGCGAUGGAUCCGGACAGGCAUCCGCCACCAGCGCGCCUCCCGGCGGCGGAUUCGGGCUGGCAACCGCCCCCAGCACGGCCACAACGGCCGAUUUUCAUGUGUGCGGCGUCCCGUCCAACCAUGACAUGCGUCGUCCCCUCGGCCCCCAAGGCGCCACCGUCGCCGACACCGUCGCGCCGCUGGGGGAGGGCCAGGCAACAGCUCAUGGAGCAACACCGAUUAUCCCAUUAGGUGUGCAAUUCUUGUUUGCAGAGAAAGAGGUGCUCGGUGGAAGAAGAACAAGAAGAAUGGCCAGCCACCAAACCAGAGGGAUAGCACCGCAGACUCCUCAAAUCAAUUCUGCAUGUGUGCAAAAAAAGACCUCACCACCACCACAAGAUGGAGCCGACGGGGGCAGCAUGCAAUCCUUCUGGCGAUGGCGUGUAGUUUUGUGACUCGUUUAGUACACGCAUGCCCUUGGUAUACGCCACGGGUCCUCCCAGGCCCCGAUGCUGGCGACGAUGUCAACGGCAGCCCCUCUGUGCAGUUCAUGCGACGCACCCGUGCGGUGCGGAACGUAUUUGCAUGCAGUUCUCUUCCUCGCGCAUGCAUGUAGUAGGGUCCAAUGGUUGUGUAGUUCACCGCUGGGUGGUGCUCCAAUGCAGUUAGAUCGCAGGUGGUGUUCACCAAUUUCGCCUCCCCCACGACCUCGUCACUUCACACUACCGACAUGGGCAUGCAGCUCACUAUCUAGACAAAGUGAAACUGAAGUUCACAAAAAAAUAUGAUUGAAGUUCGCAAAAAAUGCGUUAGAGAAAGUUGUUAAAAAAGUAAGAUGUUCGUACAGUUCACUUGAUCAAUUCAAGACAAAGUCUUGUCGAUUUAGAAUUUGGCUUC